GGAAGUAAAAGUCGUAACAAGGUUUCCGUAGGUGAACCUGCGGAAGGAUCAUUACCGUGGGGCUUCGGCCCCGUCGAGAUAAUACCCUUGCCUUUUGUGAGUACCGACCGUUUCCUCGGCAGGCUCGCCUGCCAAUGGGGACCCUACAACACCCUGAAGUACCUGUAUCUGUCUGAUAAAACAAACAAAAAGUCACAACUUUCAACAACGGAUCUCUUGGUUCUGGCAUCGAUGAAGAACGCAGCGAAAUGCGAUAAGUAGUGUGAAUUGCAGAAUUCAGUGAAUCAUCGAAUCUUUGAACGCACAUUGCGCCCUUUGGUAUUCCUUAGGGCAUGCCUGUUCGAGCGUCAUCUAAACCCUCAAGCCCUGCUUGGUGUUGGGUGCCUGUCCCGCCCCCGUGCGUGGACUCACCUCAAAUCCAUUGGCGGCCCUCGUGCCGGCCCCGAGCGCAGCAGAAACGCGGUCUCGUGGCCCGGCGGAGCGUGCCCCCAGAAGCAACAUUCACCGUUUUGACCUCGGAUCAGGUAGGGAUACCCGCUGAACUUAAGCAUAUCAAUAAGCGGAGGA
rnacentral:rRNA from 1 species